rnacentral:rRNA from 1 species
UAGGGAAUCUUCGGCAAUGGGCGGAAGUCUGACCGAGCAACGCCGCGUGAGUGAAGAAGGUUUUCGGAUCGUAAAGCUCUGUUGUAAGAGAAGAACGAGUGUGAGAGUGGAAAGUUCACACUGUGACGGUAUCUUACCAGAAAGGGACGGCUAACUACGUGCCAGCAGCCGCGGUAAUACGUAGGUCCCGAGCGUUAUCCGGAUUUAUUGGGCGUAAAGCGAGCGCAGGCGGUUAGAUAAGUCUGAAGUUAAAGGCUGUGGCUUAACCAUAGUACGCUUUGGAAACUGUUUAACUUGAGUGCAAGAGGGGAGAGUGGAAUUCCAUGUGUAGCGGUGAAAUGCGUAGAUAUAUGGAGGAACACCGGUGGCGAAAGCGGCUCUCUGGCUUGUAACUGACGCUGAGGCUCGAAAGCGUGGGGAGCAAACAGGAUUAGAUACCCUGGUAGUCCACGCCGUAAACGAUGAGUGCUAGGUGUUAGACCCUUUCCGGGGUUUAGUGCCGUAGCUAACGCAUUAAGCACUCCGCCUGGGGAGUACGACCGCAAGGUUG